rnacentral:rRNA from 1 species
GAUGAACGCUGGCGGCGUGCCUAAUACAUGCAAGUCGAACGAAACUUCUUUAUCACCGAGUGCUUGCACUCACCGAUAAAGAGUUGAGUGGCGAACGGGUGAGUAACACGUGGGCAACCUGCCCAAAAGAGGGGGAUAACACUUGGAAACAGGUGCUAAUACCGCAUAACCAUAGUUACCGCAUGGUAACUAUGUAAAAGGUGGCUAUACUACCGCUUUUGGAUGGGCCCGCGGCGCAUUAGCUAGUUGGUAGGGUAAAGGCUUACCAAGGCAAUGAUGCGUAGCCGAAUUGAGAGGUUGAUCGGCCACAUUGGGACUGAGACACGGCCCAAACUCCUACGGGAGGCAGCAGUAGGGAAUCUUCCACAAUGGGCGAAGCCUGAUGGAGCAACGCCGCGUGGGUGAAGAAGGUCUUCGGAUCGUAAAACCCUGUUGUUAGAGAAGAAAGUGCGUGAGAGUAACUGUUCACGUUUCGACGGUAUCUAACCAGAAAGCCACGGCUAACUACGU